GGGAUCUCAAAACGUCAAGGAAUAACUGUAUCGAUUUUUGAGUUUAAAUUCCUACGGUAAGUAGUAUCUUUUGGACGAUCUUUUUCGAGGCUGUUGAAUCCGAUUGGAAUGUACUGAAUCUGGCCGAGGAGGUAUGGGGAAACCGGUAGAGACGUCAUCCAAUCAACCAAGACAUAAAGUUGUCAAAGCCAUGAGUGUUAUUUCCAUGGUUUUAUAAGAGUAAUAAACGCGAAAAGUUCGAAUCUUACGAUUAUAAUUUUAAGCUGGCAUAUCACAAUGCCUUCGCCUCGAUGUGUUGUGCAGGGAUGCAGCAAUAGAUCAAAUCCACAUGAUGGAAUCUCUCUACACGACUUCCCAGUUAACAAAACCCUUGCUGCGAAGUGGAAGAACUUUGUCAGACUUCACAGAAAAAACUUCGAUCCCGAAGGCCGGUUUGUUGUUUCUGAGCAUUUUUUAGAAUCGUGUUUUUCAAGAGCAUGCCAUUUAAAAGGGGCAUUGAGAAGAUUGUUACCAGGAUCAGUGCCAACUAACUGGAAAAGUUUGAGAGAAAGCCGCGGUAAUUACGAGAAAACCUCAAGUACUUCAUCGAAGGAUCACGCAUGACUAUGAAGGAGAUUUUUCAUUCGAAGACAGCGAUGUCACUCUGCCCGGCAAAUCCUGUAAUAGAGAUAAACCAUGAACGCGAAGUGCAUCCACAGCGGAACACGGCAUAAAACGUCACUGAUGGUAUCUACAGUGAACUUGAUAAAAAGCUACCGACAUCUACAUCGUCAGAUUUCGCGAACGGGUCCCAAAUCAUUGCCGAUUCUGGUUCUUUGAAUAACGAUGCUUCUGGGGAUCGAGAAGUAUCUUCGGAGUUAACGGGAAAUUCCACCGCUGAGAUUGCCGUUUCUCAUUUCGAAGCAGAUGAGCUUGCGGCUUCGUUUCCCGCCAAGGAAACAAUAGAUUACCAGGUAAAAACAAGAGAGAUUUUGCAUGCGAACACACGCGAUCGUGUCAGUACAUAUAAACAACACAUGGCCAAGUCAAGGAAUUCCAACGUAUUAGAGUCA